rnacentral:lncRNA from 1 species
AUGAAGGUAAAGCUGCCAACCGUACACAAUGAGCCCAAGAGAAGACGCCCCUGCAGACCGCCAGGUGCCUUUGAAGUCUUUGGCUUCCUCGUGGGGAUCAUAUUCUUCAUCCUCGGCCUGGGAACACUGUUGCCAUGGAACUUCUUCAUGACGGCGUCUAUGUAUUUCAACAACAGACUCAACACGUCUGAGUGGAGUAAUGGCACAGUAACCACCAGGAAGGAGUAUUAUUUCAAUAACUGGAUGACUCUGCUAUCCCAGCUGCCUUUGCUGCUCUUCACUCUGCUCAACUCUUUUCUCUAUCAGUGGAUCUCAGAGAAGAUGAGGAUAGCAGGCAGUCUGGUCUUCAUCCUGCUCCUCUUCAUCCUCACUGCUGUGCUGGUGAAGAUCCCGAUGGAGGAGGACCGCUUCUUCUCCGUCACCAUGGCAACCAUCUGGUUUAUCAAUUCGUUCGGGGCCGUGUUACAGGGAAGUCUGUUUGGUUUGGUGGGUUUGUUGCCGCAGAGGUACAGCGCCGUCUUUAUGAGCGGACAGGGACUCGCUGGGACAUUCGCUGCUCUUGCAAUGAUCUUCGCCAUCGCAAGUGAGACACCGUUGUUCUGCACGAUCCUCUUCAUUAAUAUCCUCUGCUUCUCGAUCAGGAUCAAACUGAUAAGUGAUAUAAAGACGCCAUUGUUUACAAUACAACCAGAGCACAUGCUGCUGAGGAGAGGGGCGGGACUUUCAGACGUGCACUAG